AAGUCUGAAACCAAGAUGGAAUUGUUUUCUUGCAGACUCUAAAUUCUCUUUCGCAUUAUCAAUUAAAGCCAAGUGGUUCCAGGUUCUCCUUCUUUUCUUGUCACUCAUUUCUGUACGUUUUUGUGUGGAUGUUGUCUCUUCUAGUCUUUUGUUUCACCUGGCGCUCUAAUCCACAACACUAAAGUUCAUGAUGAACAAAAAUGCAAGAGAAGAUAAGAAGAAAACAUACACAAUGACAAUCCCUAGUAUUAUAGUAUGGCAUUUGCAUUAGUUUAGAACUCUAGUUUUAUUUUAUUUUAUAAUCAUCUACCCUUCAUGUUCAUCACAUAUGAACGCAUAUUAAAUAAUCUAAUAACUGAUUUCGGACAGAAUCGAGCAUCGAGUAUCAAAUCGCGAUGUUUUAAACCAAUCAGUUUUUACGGAUGUUCGGCCUGGUUUUUUCCUAAAGUAGAGCUUUCUAUCUAUCCACAGUAAUUCUAAAUACUGAAUUUAAACCAAUAGACAUCCCUGAAAAUAGCAAUGUUAAUUAAAAACACAACCAUCUUUUCACAAUUUCCCAUAAACUGCAUAAGCACUGCAUAAAACUGAUAAUUUGUGUAAAGUGUGAAACUGCUGACACAGUUUCAUAUUUCCAAUUACUAAUAAUUAAUAGUUUACAAAUAAUUCUUAUUUGUUAAAAAAUUAUUCUUAUUUGUAAACUGUGUAGGAAUAUGACAUUAUGUUGUCAUAGUACUGUCACAAAAGGAACAAAUCAACCCAAUUGAUGAAAAAGAAAACGCAGAAAAAACUGUUUCGACUUGAAAGCAUGGAACGUCUUGUUUCUGUCAGCAAAAAAGAGGAACAAAAACAAAGCUGGGGAAUCACAGUUAACAAAAAUAUAUUGUGUCUUACAAAAUCAUUAAUAGCUUUGGUGAUAGAACUUAAAAUAUAUACAAAAAACAAGAACUAUGAUUAUAAUAUGAUUUGUUUAUUGCUUUGUGCCCAGAGGCCAACCAGACUAAACUCACACAACCAGUUUAGCUUUACUUCUACUUUUACCUCCUAUGUUCGGCUGUGGAUGUGGAACGGUGAAGCUAAGUUUUUAUAUUUUAUAUAUCUCCAUGAUUGAAUCAGAGAAGAAAACAGAGACUUCUCAGUCCUCAAUUGAUGGUCUGCCUGAAGAUCAUGAGGACCGCAACCAACCUGAGAGAACUGAGGUGGAAAGAAGCAAUUCUUCUCCAAGAUCUGUGUGCUGUAGAAGGGAAAGGUCCAAGGAUUCUCCUGUUUAUUUCAACACAGGAGAAGCAUCAACAAAGUAAAAAAACUAUUUUUAGUGAGUGAACUCACAGAACUGAGCUAAACUUGUCUCCUCACACUUAUUAUGAUUAAGAGAUGAUAACUCAUUAAAUGUCUUCUGAAGCGAGUCGUGCCAUUUGCCUUUCUUUGAGACCUUUUACCGCUUAUCCAAGUGACUUCAUCAGUUGAAGCCCCACAUAUAUCCUCCAGAUGCAUCACCCACAUUCCAUUCUUGCCAAUGAGCGGCUCAUUAAGUGGAAUAAUGAAGAGAAACCUGAAUAAAUAGCUUCUCCUUCUGUAAACCCUCAUUGGGUUGUUGGGUGUUGUUGUGCUGGAGUUUUGGUUGUCUUUGGAACUAUUGAAAGGGCAGCAUGAUGAACAUGAAACAAAAUGUGUCUGACAACUCCCUGUCUGUUGAGGGUAGGAAGGGCUAUUAAUAUGUGCAUGUAUUGCUUCUCUGACGUCUAAGCCACAUCCCUUUCCUGUCAAGAAUCUGUCCAUUUUGGUCUUUAAAUGAUUGUCCUUUGUCUUUUCAAUGUGAAUAAACAGAAUCUGGUGUU